GAUGAAGAACGUAGCGAAAUGCGAUAAGUAAUGUGAAUUGCAGAAUUCAGUGAAUCAUCGAAUCUUUGAACGCACAUUGCGCCCCUUGGUAUUCCGAGGGGCAUGCCUGUUCGAGCGUCAUUAUAACCCCUCAAGCUCAGCUUGGUGUUGGGGCCUGCUGCACUGGCAGCCCUUAAAAUCAGUGGCGGCGCCAUCUGGCUCUAAGCGUAGUAAUUCUUCUCGCUAUGGAGUCCUGGUGGAUGCUUGCCAUCAACCCCCAAUUUUUCUAUGGUUGACCUCGGUUCAGGUAGGGAUACCCGCUGAACUUAAGCAUAUCAAUAAGCGGAGGA
rnacentral:misc_RNA from 1 species